rnacentral:rRNA from 1 species
UUCGGGGUACUCGAGCGGCGAACGGGUGAGUAACACGUGAGCAACCUGCCCCAAGCUUUGGGAUAACCCUCGGAAACGGGGGCUAAUACCGAAUAUUACUUCUGGCCGCAUGGCUGGUGGUGGAAAGUUUUUCGGCUUGGGAUGGGCUCGCGGCCUAUCAGCUUGUUGGUGGGGUGAUGGCCUACCAAGGCGACGACGGGUAGCCGGCCUGAGAGGGCGACCGGCCACACUGGGACUGAGACACGGCCCAGACUCCUACGGGAGGCAGCAGUGGGGAAUAUUGCACAAUGGGCGGAAGCCUGAUGCAGCGACGCCGCGUGAGGGAUGACGGCCUUCGGGUUGUAAACCUCUUUCAGCAGGGACGAAGCGAGAGUGACGGUACCUGCAGAAGAAGCACCGGCCAACUACGUGCCAGCAGCCGCGGUAAGACGUAGGGUGCGAGCGUUGUCCGGAUUUAUUGGGCGUAAAGAGCUCGUAGGCGGCUUGUCGCGUCGACCGUGAAAACUUGGGGCUCAACCCCAAGCCUGCGGUCGAUACGGGCAGGCUAGAGUUCGGUAGGGGAGACUGGAAUUCCUGGUGUAGCGGUGAAAUGCGCAGAUAUCAGGAGGAACACCGGUGGCGAAGGCGGGUCUCUGGGCCGAUACUGACGCUGAGGAGCGAAAGCGUGGGGAGCGAACAGGAUUAGAUACCCUGGUAGUCCACGCUGUAAACGUUGGGCGCUAGGUGUGGGGGGCCUCUCCGGUUCCC